rnacentral:tRNA from 2 species
GCCCUUGUGACGGAACGGCAGACGUACUGGUCUUAGAAACCAGGUUUUGUGGGUUCAACUCCCACCGAGGGUACCA